UGUGGGGCCGAGGGUCCACAGAUAGCUAUCAGUCCGCAGGCAUUAAGUCUAUGUUGGAGGUAAACAAAUACGGGUCCAGCUUAGGGAAAAAGAAAAACAUCUUACAGCCGGUUUCUAAGCUUCAAACAACGGAAUGUGUCAAUGAGACCUUUAUGUAUGGAUACACGUGCAUUUAAAACGGCCCCGCCAG
rnacentral:lncRNA from 1 species